rnacentral:sRNA from 82 species
GAGCGAUCAUAAGGGAGCUGACUGCAAAUCUGCCGUCAUCGACUUCAAGGUUCGACUCGAGCAAUAGUGAGAGAACGUUGCCGCAGGCAACGGUCCGAAGGGUGAGGAGCUUUAGCUCCGAAUAAUCCUUCCCGCUAUAGAA